AGCUGUGCCUCACCUCAGAGACAGACAGGUAUCUGACAUCUAAGCAACUGAAGUGGGAUUCAAAUUGAAGUAGAAGCUGCAGCUGCAGAGAUGUAUACUAUCAUGUCCAUCAAAGAUGCCAAGAUCUACGUUGUCUUACUGGUGUUCAUCAGCGUCUUUGUGGAGAAAGGGCAGUCAGACUUAUCAACAGAAAAUGUGAAAAAGAUUAUUGAAGACACAAUAUACAAAAGGUUCAAGCCUGAAGAGUUGAAAAUAAUGAUAGCAAACAAAGCAGAAGGCACAAGCGGAAGACAGCCCAAGGGCGAGCAGUUCACAAUGGCGCUCAGGCUUACAACAAAGGAAUGUGACAGUGGGGAGCUAGAGGAAAGACACAAUCUCAAACAGGUUAUGGACGACAUGGUAAAUGGUGCUGUGGGCAACAAUGAUUGGGUCACUGCAGCUAUUCCUGAGUUCAACAUCGGUCAUGACAGCCAUUCAGAAUAUCGCGUACUGGAGAAACUGAAAUCCAAUUUACAAAAAGAUUCUAAUAUAGAGUGUUUGAUACUCUACACACACAACAGUCCUUGUACUGAUAAAUGCCUGAAAGACAGCCAUUCUUUCAACAUUAUCAAACAACUGAAUGAUGUUUUCUCAAAAGUAAAAUCAACAUAUAGUGCAUUAGUCUUCGACCAUAUUUAUUAUGUAGACAUAGAAAAAAUUAAAGAGGACGUUUUUAAUUCCCUGAAAAACAUUCAUAUACCAACUUAUUGCUGCUACCACACUAAAAAUAUUGGAUAUUACUGUGCAUUGCUUGACACUAGCAAACAAGACAUAUUUCAAAUAUGUUUAAAUGAGAUAUCAAAGUAAUGACACCAAUGAUAAACCCCUGAGAAAAAUGAAUAAAGAGCACAAUAGAUUUUUUUCUGUUGUUACAAAAACCACAACAUUUAUACAAAUGUUUGGCUGUCAUCACUCAUCACUGAAUUGGGAUGCUAAUGUUAGCAGUACAUGAAUGUUGGUUGUAAUUAUUUAGGCUGUUCUGUAUCCCCCCAUUCUCUCGUUUCAAUGUGCUUUCUGUCUUCUGAAUAUUGAUAAACAUUCUGAAACUGUAUAAUGUAGUGUUUCAUUUCAAACUAUUUCUGCCUGAUGCCAGCAGGAGGUUGUUAGUCUGUUGUUUUAUUAUACUGUAUAAAUCUGUUUCCACUCGCUUAUGAUAUCAUUACUGUGAUCUACAACUUUAUGACGUAUGAGUUAUUUGCUGUUAUUAAACCAUUCUCUCUUGGAUGUAAUGAAGGAUGUUGUCUGUGAUAAGUGCUUUCCCUUCGUUAUGUUCAGUCUCAAGUGUGAAUAGAAGCCCAUUAACGUGGAGACAUCUUUACAGCAGUGGUCUGUGAAAGCAUUUUACUCGGCAGGAGCUGCUCAUCGUGGAUCAUUCCAGCUGGUAGUUCAUAUUCAAUCCAUAAAAAGUUGAGUUGUCGAGGGGCUGAAUGGUCAAGUUCCCAGUUUUCACACUCUGUUAUAAUUGAUGCAUCUGGAGUAUGCUAUUUAGUCACUGAGAGACAGCUGGGCCAGACAGGACCGGCGCCAGGCAUAAGACAUUUUUUGUUGUUGUAGGUACUCAGUCGGUGUCUCAACUUACUGUUCUCUCUUAGGGCCCCCAAAAGGCUAGAACUGGCCCUGGGGCCAGAGAAUAAUUUGUAUUGGAUAUUCACCUUCAGGAAAAUGUCAAAACAUCAACAAACCCAAAGCAGACAUAUGGAAAAGAACACCAAUUAUUUUAUUUUUAACACCUACGUUUACUUCUUUAUGUUUAUUUUAAUAUGGGAAAUAACUGGAAAAAAUGAAAAUAUUGAAUAUGUGCUGAAUAAAAGCGUAAUAUGGUUAAUAAUAGGGUUAAAAUUAUAUGUCAAAGAAAAUGUAAUGAAACACAAACUGCCUCCUCAAAACAAAUUGUCACUGUUACCUUAGAUUGAGUUGAUUUUCAUAUCGACUGGCCUUUCAGGUUUAUAA